rnacentral:tRNA from 1 species
GGAGACGUAUGUGUCCUGGUGGGCGCCCCGGUCUUCAAAACCGGUGAAGCCAAGUACCUUGGUUUGGCAGGUUCGAUUCCUGUCCGUCUCCGCCA